CGGCGAGUGAGCGGGAGAGCUCAAAUUUGAAAUCUGGUAGCCUUCGGUUGCCCGAGUUGUAAUCUAGAGAAGUGUUUUCCGUGCCGGCCCAUGUACAAGUCCCUUGGAACAGGGCGUCAUAGAGGGUGAGAAUCCCGUCCUUGACAUGGACCCCCGGUGCUUUGUGAUACACUUUCAACGAGUCGAGUUGUUUGGGAAUGCAGCUCAAAAUGGGUGGUGAAUUCCAUCUAAAGCUAAAUAUUGGCGAGAGACCGAUAGCGAACAAGUACCGUGAGGGAAAGAUGAAAAGCACUUUGGAAAGAGAGUUAAACAGUACGUGAAAUUGUUGAAAGGGAAACGAUUGAAGUCAGUCAUGCUCUUGGGACUUACCUCCCUUGAGUGGGGUCAACAUCAGUUUUGAUCGAUGGAUAAAGGCACGGGGAAGGUAGCACUCUCGGGUGAACUUAUAGCCUCGCGUCAUAUACAUUGAUUGGGACUGAGGAACGCAGCAUGCCUUAUGGCCGGGAUUCGUCCACGUACAUGCUUAGGAUGUUGACAUAAUGGCUUUAAACGACCCGUCUUGA
rnacentral:rRNA from 1 species